CAGCACCUCAAGUGGUCAGGAUGAUUAUUGGGCCUAAAGCAUCCGUAGCCGGCGCUGUAAGUUUACGGUUAAAUCUGUACGCUCAACGUACAGGCUGCCGGGAAUACUGCAGCGCUAGGGAGUGGGAGAGGUAGACGGUACUCGGUAGGAAGGGGUAAAAUCCUUUGAUCUAUUGAUGACCACCUGUGGCGAAGGCGGUCUACCAGAACACGUCCGACGGUGAGGGAUGAAAGCUGGGGGAGCAAACCGGAUUAGAUACCCGAGUAGUCC
rnacentral:rRNA from 1 species